rnacentral:rRNA from 1 species
GAUCCUGGCUCAGGAUGAACGCUAGCUACAGGCUUAACACAUGCAAGUCGAGGGGAAACGACAUCGAAAGCUUGCUUCCGAUGGGCGUCGACCGGCGCACGGGUGAGUAACGCGUAUCCAACCUGCCCACCACUUGGGGAUAACCUUGCGAAAGUAAGACUAAUACCCAAUGAUAUUUCUAGAAGACAUCUGAAAGAGAUUAAAGAUUCAUCGGUGAUGGAUGGGGAUGCGUCUGAUUAG